CAGCAGCCGCGGGAAUACGUAGGUGGCAAGCGUUGUCCGGAAUUAUUGGGCGUAAAGGGCUCGCAGGCGGUUUCUUAAGUCUGAUGUGAAAGCCCCCGGCUCAACCGGGGAGGGUCAUUGGAAACUGGGAAACUUGAGUGCAGAAGAGGAGAGUGGAAUUCCACGUGUAGCGGUGAAAUGCGUAGAGAUGUGGAGGAACACCAGUGGCGAAGGCGACUCUCUGGUCUGUAACUGACGCUGAGGAGCGAAAGCGUGGGGAGCGAACAGGAUUAGAUACCCGCGUAGUCCCUGUCUCUUAUAA
rnacentral:rRNA from 1 species